AGGACGAACGCUGGCGGCGUGCUUAACACAUGCAAGUCGAACGAGGUGCUUCGGGCACUUAGUGGCGAACGGGUGAGUAACACGUGGGCAACCUGCCCUUGGCUCUGGGGUAGCCCCCGGAAACGGGGAUUAAUACCGGACAUGACCUUUUCCUGCAUGGGGGAGGGUGGAAAGUUUUUCGGCCAGGGAGGGGCUCGCGGCCUAUCAGCUUGUUGGGGGGGUAACGCCCACAAGGCGACGACGGGUAGCC
rnacentral:rRNA from 1 species